GGGACUCUCGGGGAGAGCCCUCGAAGGGAUCAAGGGACCCUGGAAUCUCCCCCUCUUUCAUUUCCUGGCAGAGGUCAGAGCUUUUGCUGUGCAGCCACCCCUUGCCAUGAUGAGCUGUUUUGCAAUGAGACCGACCGAUCAUGACCAGAAACCUCUGAGAUCAAGAGCCAAGAUAAACCCGUUAUCGGUUGAUUAUCCAGGGUGUAGAGGAAGUCAACAGACUCUCUGGACUCAUCUGAAGAGCCUGAAAAUUGUCCAUGAAGGCAGACGCUGCCACCAAGCCAGAUGAUGGAUUCUAUCACAUUACUUGAUUGUUGGUAAAAGCCCAGGUCCACGGCUGAAGAGAAGGCUCAGCAGUUAAGAGCACCUGUUUUGGUUCUGCUGUGGUACUUACCUGUUAGAACACACCCCGAGGGGGUCAUUGGAUGACAGCUGGUCUCCACCUCCACACAUCUUUCUACAGAGUACAGCCAGAGACACUCGGGGUUGGAAUACAGCCGCAAGGAAGCCAUGUUAAUUCAUGCCAUGAAGCCACAUGGUGAGGUCCCAUGGAGGGGUCGUGACCUUCAUGCCAGCUGCCCAAAGUGAAUGAAGACCUGUCUGCUCACAAGGUUCCUGCAGCUUUCAAUCUUCCAGGAUCCUCAGGCGCCAAUGGACACGUGAGUGCACUCAGCUGCAGCAGACACAGUCAGCCAGCUUCCUGGGAGGCCAGUGGCCCCUUGGGUGUUCUUGAGAGGGUCCGAUGGGUUAAGCUAACAACCACUAAUGCCUACAGGGGCCACAGGGGCCACCUUUGGUGUGCAUUCCGGUUGAGGCUCUGACCACAGCACCUCAGAAUUCAUCUUACACUUUUAACUGGGUUCUUUACAGAGGCCACUGGUAGGGAUCAGAGAGACACCUGAUGCAGAGCUUCCUGCCCGCUGCAGGGCUCUCUGACACUGGAGUUCAGGCCCUCAGGACAAAGAGCAGACUGCGGGCAGUUUUCCGUGUGCAGCAGCUGCACAAGAAACAAAACCCCAGCUCUGGGGAAGCUCCGGCUUCUGACAGCCCCAGCCUCAAGUUUGACCAAGCCUGAAAAGGUUACCCUAGCAACACGGAACAGCCAGAAACAGACCAUUUGAUGGCUCCUCUCUCCUUGGCCCCAUCUUUCACCCUAUUUACAAACCCACACUCAGCCAAUCAGGGCCCAAAUGCUUCUCAAUAAAUUGGGCCAUUCCGAGGAUUGAAGCCAUUUUUGCCUGUUAACACAAGGGCGGCAACUUCAGAUCCUGCCUCUUGGCUUUGCCAGUCCCCUGCUGGUUUCUGCUUCCAGAGUCUUCAGAGAGGGACUCACUGGCUUCCUGCACCAGAGGCUUCAGCCCAGGGCAAGGGGCUCACUGGAGCCAGCCUCUGGGAUUCAACUACCAGCCUCAGGCAGGGGGACUCAUUCCUGUCCCGGCAACCAGAGACUUGCUGGGGACAGGAGACUGACUUCUGCCACUCCCAUCAGUGACCUGCUGGUGUGUUCUCUGAGGAACUGCUUGCAGCUGGCACCCUGACGCCUGCCAAGAACAUAGGGGUGUGUAACAUCAGCAACCUCUCAGGGAGGCACCCUAAAACCUGCCCUGGGCUUGGAGCUGGUACUCACUGAAUCUCAGCUGGCAUCCUGUUGGCACCAAGGGUCUUAGAAAUUUUGCCAUGCUGUCUGCCCACUCCAUUCUUGGAGGGAGGGUAGACAAGGACCCAGCUAGACAUCAGAGGCAGUCCCCACCACCGACUGCUUCACCGUGAAGGUAAAAUACACAUUUCCAGUCCUGAUCCAAUCCAACUGGUGUCCUUAGAAGAGGGGAUAAAGUCACUCACAACCCUGUGAUUCACAAAUGUCCUGCUCCCCAUUACUUGCAUCUAUUUCCAGUCAGGCAGGACUUUAUUGCUUCCUUUCUUCAGAGUUCUUUGGAUUUCAUUUACUUUUUUCUUUCUCAAGGGGAAAGGUGAGAACACUAAGUCGAGUACAUCUCUCCGAUUCUAGUGUAAGCAUUUAAUGCUAUCAUUUCCCGCCUCUAACAAGCCAUAAAGUUGAAUAUGGUUUCAUUUGGUUGCGUUUAAAAGACUGAAAAUUUCCUUUUUAAUGUUUUGCUUGGGCCAGAGAGUAAUGGGACAGUGUGUCAUGGGGCUAAAGAGAUGCUUCAGUAGGAAGAGCACUGGUUGCUCUUGCAGAGAGCUGGGGUUCAAUUUGCAGCACCCACAUGGUGACUCACUACGGUCUAUAAC